GGCGAGCGGGGAUCCGUGGCCCCGGUGCGCCCGGCGGGACGGGAGCUGCCCGCGGGGCGUGCGGAAUGGUAACGGAGGAGGAGCAGCAAAAGAGACAGCUGUAUUGACUCAGAGGACCUGAGGUCUGCCUGGAGCAUCCCACUUGAUAAGCAAUGAGAAGGUCCAGUGGCUGUGGCAAUAGUGGAGGACUGAGGACCAGCAGAGCCUGCAGACCAACUGCUGGAAACCAAGGACUGUCUAAGGUAUUUCACAUGGCUUUGAAAACUCAUGGAGGAUAGAAGAGACAGCAGAAGACUGAAUAAAUAACUCUUAGAAAAAUAGAUGGAAGAGUACCCAAGUAAUUUUAAUUAGGUAGCCUAACUUCCUGGAUUUCAGAAAAAAAUUACCAGUUUCUAAAUGAAAGGCGAUAAAAACUUGCUGACAUGCCUCUAUCAACAACAUGUGAUACCAAACCAAACUAAUGUGCUUCUUCUACAUAUUGCCUACUAGAUACAGAUGAAGCAGUAAAUAUUACUAUGUUCCCUGUUGAUACUUGUAAGUAACUGAACAAGUACAUCCUAGAUAAAAUCAUUAGAAGGUGAGGAUAGAGGAGGACAAAUGAUCAGCAAUACUACUUUUGAAAGGUAGCUGUGGGUUGCUGACAGUCAAUUUGAGAUGGCUUUUCAGGUAGGCUUUAGGAAUUUGGUGACUAUUUAAUGUGACAGGAUGUUUUUUUUUUUUUUUUUAUGCCAAGCUUUCUAUCGAAAUAGCAUAAAAUAAAAAGUGCUGUAAUUAUAGGUCAUGUACAAACAGAAGUGACGCAGCUUGUUUCAGGUGAUCAAGUCUUUGGUCAAAGGACAAGAGUGCCACUCUUUGUGCUGUACAUUGCUACUAGUUUCUUUCCUGACUCCUUUAAUAUGUCGUUAAAGUCCUCUGCCUGCCUUCUCCAAAGAGUCUCAGAGUUAAAACUUCGAUACUGUAAAAUAUACUACCCUGUUAUCAUUCUGGUAAUAAUAUUAUGUGUUAAGCCUGUGAAUGCAAGCUAAGUGUAUAUUCUAAACUACAUAUUUUUUUCUGGCAAACGAGAAAAAUUGCAGGAUUUACUUGCAAAAGGUGUUUUGCCUGGUUUCUCCAUACUUGAUGUUAAUCUGCCCUUGCCAGCUAUUAAAGUAGAAAUUACUGCCACUGUAUUGCACAAAAGCAGAGAUUCUGCAAUUGUGAAUUUAAUGUAGUUUGGAACACUUUGUAGUCUUCAGAGUCAGACACAUUUUCCCCAUCGCCCAAAUUAUUUUAAAUUGCAAGUAAAGUUUUGCAAAACUGUUACCAUUAUUUUCUCAGUUCACCUAAGCUGUUUUUACAAGACUGUUAUCUACUCGAAAUCACAACAUCUUUUAUUAAAAUAGUUAUAAGAGCAUUGAACCUGUCAGCUGUAAUUUGCAGCUUUUUCUCCUUUAGAUUCUGUGCUCUUGCUGA